rnacentral:misc_RNA from 1 species
GAUGAAGAACGUAGCGAAAUGCGAUACUUGGUGUGAAUUGCAGAAUCCCGUGAACCAUUGAGUCUUUGAACGCAAGUUGCGCCCGAAGCCAUUAGGCCGAGGGCACGCCUGCCUGGGCGUCACACGUCGUUGCCCCCCCAUCUACUCCUUCGGGAUUGCGGGGGGCGGAUGAUGGCCUCCCGUGCGCCUCUUCGCGCGGUUGGCAUAAAUGCCAAGUCCUCGGCGACGCACGCCACGACAAUCGGUGGUUGCGAAACCUCGGUUGCCCGUCGUGUGCGGUCGUCGCGCAUCGAGGGCUCGAAAAAAUUGUCGGGCUCCGGCUCGGCUUUCAACGCGACCCCAGGUCAGGCGGGGUUACCCGCUGAAUUUAAGCAUAUCAAUAAGCGGAGGA